GAUGAACGCUGGCGGCGUGCCUAAUACAUGCAAGUCGAGCGAACGGACGAGAAGCUUUCUUCUCUGAUGUUAGCGGCGGACGGGUGAGUAACACGUGGAUAACCUACCUAUAAGACUGGGAUAACUUCGGGAAACCGGAGCUAAUACCGGAUAAUUUUUUGAACCGCAUGGUUCAAAAUUGAAAGCCGGUCUUGCUCUCACUUAUAGAUGGAUCCUCGCUGCAUUAGCUAGUUGGUAAGGUAACGGCUUACCAAGGCAACGAUGCAUAGCCGACCUGAGAGGGUGAUCGGCCACACUGGAACUGAGACACGGUCCAGACUCCUACGGGAGGCAGCAGUAGGGAAUCUUCCGCAAUGGGCGAAAGCCUGACGGAGCAACGCCGCGUGAGUGAUGAAGGUCUUCGGAUCGUAAAACUCUGUUAUUAGGGAAGAACAUAUGUGUAAGUAACUGUGCACAUCUUGACGGUACCUAAUCAGAAAGCCACGGCUAACUACGUG
rnacentral:rRNA from 1 species